rnacentral:lncRNA from 1 species
GAGGUCCCUGUUAGGGCCCCCCAAGCCCUUGGUGCUGGUGGCCAUGGGGAGCUCUUUACCUGAGCAGGGGAUGGGUGAUGUGGUGAAGACCUGGUGGGUGAACACAGAGAUCUGGUGGGUGGACAUGGAGAUGUAUGGCAGAUGUGUCGAUCUGGUGGGUGGAUGUCUAGAUCUGAUGGGGCAACACGAAGAUCUGGUGGGUCAAUACACAGAUCUAUGGCAGAUGUGUUGAUUUGGUGGGUGGAUGUCUAGAUCUGAUGGGUCAACGUGUAGAUCUGAUGGGUCAACACAUGGAUCUAUGGCAGAGGUGUCAAUCUGGUGGGUGGAUGUAUAGAUCUGAUGGGUGAACAUGAAGAUCUGGUGGGUCAAUACACAGAUCUAUGGCAGAUGUGUAGAUCUGGUGGGUGGAUGUACAGAUCUGAUGGGUGAACACAUAGAUCUGUUGGGUGGACAUGGAGAUCUGAUGGUUGGGCAUGUAGAUCUGUUGGUAGACACAUAGAUCUGUUGGGUAGACAUGUAGAUCUGUUGGCAGACAUGCAGAUCCAGUGGUUGGAGAUCUGAUGGGAGACACACAGAUCUGAUGGGUGGACAUGUAGAUCUGAUGGGUGGACCUACAGCUCUGACAGAACAGGUAGAUCUGGUGGGAGGACAGUGCACCCAUGGGCCAACAUGGCCACCUUCUUCUUCAUCACUGGGGCAGAAGCACUUCUGUGGGGACCAGCGAGAGUUCACCCCCCCCAAGACCUCGUGGGCUGCCUGUGGGGGCUCUCUGGAGACCCACGGGCAUCAACCACUGCAUUUUUGGGGUCCCGGGGGCUUCUUCCAGACACCUCCCUGGGUGGUGGGACCUGCAGCCGGGCUCCUUGGUGACGUGGGCUGUGUGUCAUCACUGCGGUGGCACCUUGGUGACCCUAAAAGGAAGAAGGGGAUUUUUUGUUUUCGGUUCCUCUGCCCGAAGCUCUCACCUUCCUCCAGGAAGAGCUGUGCCAGCAGCUGCUCCCCGGGGCUCUCCAGCC